rnacentral:rRNA from 1 species
UACGAAGGGGGCUAGCGUUGUUCGGAAUCACUGGGCGUAAAGCGCACGUAGGCGGAUUUUUAAGUCAGGGGUGAAAUCCCGGGGCUCAACCCUCGGAACUGCCCUUGAUACUGGAGAUCUUGAGUCCGGGAGAGGUGAGUGGAACUGCGAGUGUAGAGGUGAAAUUCGUAGAUAUUCGCAAGAACACCAGUGGCGAAGGCGGCUCACUGGCCCGGAACUGACGCUGAGACGCGAAAGCGUGGGGAGCAAACAGG